rnacentral:rRNA from 1 species
GACGAACGCUGGCGGCGUGCUUAACACAUGCAAGUCGAACGGAAAGGCCAUGCUCUUGUGGGGUGCUCGAGUGGCGAACGGGUGAGUAACACGCGAGUAACAUGCCCUUGUAUUUGGGAUAAAUUCAGGAAACUGGGGCUAAUACCGGAUAGGAGCUCCUGCUGCAUGGUGGGGGUUGGAAAGUUUCGGCGGUUGGGGCUGGAUUCGCGGCUUAUCAGCUUGUUGGUGGGGUAGUGGCUUACCAAGGCUUUGACGGGUAGCCGGCCUGAGAGGGUGACCGGCCACAUGGGUACUGAGGUACGGCCCAGACUCCUACGUGAGGCAGCAGUGGGGAAUAUUGCACAAUGGGCGGAAGCCUGAUGCAGCAGCGCCGCGUGCGGGAUGACGGCUUUCGGGUUGUAAACCGCUUUCGCCUGUGACGAAGCGUGAGUGACGGUAAUGGGUAAAGAAGCACCGGCUAACUACGUG